GAAAUUCAGUUGAAUUAGUUUUCCAUUUCGUAUACUAAAUUGGAUAUGCCUGCAGAGGUAUUCAAUUUCUUGCGUAUCGAAAAUUAAAACGUUGGCUUGUUAAAUUGUGAGCCGCAUACGAAAGAGAUGGAAUGUUGCUUUAAAGAUUUAUAAAUGCAAAAGAUAUGUUUUCACAGGAAAUGUUCUUAUUGAAUGCCUUAAAGCAUAUUCAUAAAAUCUACAAUGAAAUUCGACAAGAUUUAAUAUCACAUUUGGGCCAAAAGUUUUAUAAAUUGAUUUAACAGUCUUAAAUGUCUUAAAGCACUUGAUUAUAUUUGAAAUCAAAUGCAGCGAGUUGUGAUAUACAAUCGUGAUUCAUAUUAAACAAACGGAGUUUAGUUGUUGUAGAAAGGGUAUUAAAAUGACGCCAACAAGCGCAGAGGAAAUUGCCGCAACUAGAGCUACAAGUUUUGUGUGCCUAAAACUAGGCUAUCAAGCCAAAAAGAAUAAAUAACAAAGGCAACAGCAGCAGCACCAACAACAAUUGGCACACAAACUACUGAGCCAGCAGCGUUUACUGGCAAAAAAGAAAAUGAAGACUGGCUGAGAGAAUGUCGCGUUUAUUAAUGCCAGGGGAGCGCACUUGACUUUGGACAUAAUUGUGGUUAGUCGGCCAACUGGCUGUUGGCCAGCAACGCCUCUUGCUUGUUCCAUUCGCAAUGUAAUUUACAACGGCCGAGAGCUAAAUGUGAUCUCCCAACAUGACAGGCAUCCUCGUUCGAGUUCCUGUUCCUGUUGCUGCUCUGGCUGGGCUGAGCUGCUUAGCGACACGUGGCCCAUAAGUAGACGCCACAUGAUACACGGAAGGCAACAGCCUGGGAUGUCUGCCCCGUCUGUCAGUGCCAACAGUCAGUUGAUUGUGUGUAUGGAGUCGUAUUUCAAUGCUUUGUGCUUCAAUUGCGAAAUGUUUAAUGUUCGAAUUGCUCUUGAAUUGAAUUAAAUUGCGUGUGAUUGGUGCGUAAAUAAUUCCAUUAAUUUAUGCGGCAUGUUGAAAUACUUAUGUACUGCUGCCCGGUAGCUAUUAAAAUUGUCAACGUAUUUGUCUUUCAGCAUUUC